rnacentral:rRNA from 1 species
AUGAGAGAGCUUCAACUAGAUCUUGUAGCAUCCGACAUCAUGUCUGGAAAUCUCUACACCGCGGUAGGAUGCACAAGUGGUUUCGUCACUGAAUCGCCCAGAUGUACACAUCCUGCCUUUUCCUUUCACCUUUUGGCUCGAUUAGUGUACCCAUCUCAACUCAUCAUGUUGACUUUUGGACUGAUCGCCGUGAGAUAUCUUCUUCACGGGGAUCAGAGAUUUUUCCACUUCAAAAUCACACCCAACUUGGUGGUCGUAUGUUCAGGACAAACUUCACUCCAAAUUUGUCCAGAUCAUGUUCACCAUUUCUCGAGUAGAGAUCUGGUACACACUAGAAACAUUGUCAUUCCAUCUUUGAAUGCACUCCCAACUUCUCCAAGAAAAGAAACAAAGCAUGGUGACUCUCCCGGCAUCUCCAAGAAGCGGGAGGUGGCGGCAAACCGAGAUGUCAAUGACGUCCUUGACGAUGUCGGAUCUCGUGGCCUCGACAACAUAAUCAUCGCCGGACGAGUUCAUUGCAAUGGCUUCUGGCCAUGCGUGCAACUCCCUCAUCACUUUCUUCGCCAUGCAAGCAACACUCACCUCGUCGCCAGCUUGUGCAUAGAGGAUGGAGUCCAGGAGCACGUGUUAGUCCACCUCGUCCUCACUCUGUGCCUCCUCCGAUGUUGCAUCCUCUGGGUCGUCACCCAUUCCAACUCCGGUGCCUUGGAGUUCUUGGCGAAGGAGGAGCUACCCAUCGGCGGGGGGGCAGUGAGAUAUGGUGCAGAGACAAGAAGGGAUGCGAGCAGUGCGGUGACAGGAUUGGGGGAUGGGGCAGAAUGCAUCGAGAGUGUAAGAUGGCAGAGGAGGGAAGCGAAGUGGGCAAAUGCGCCAAAAUUGACAAGAGAGGAGAGCGGAGCAGGUUGUGCUACAGUUUUGUUUGGAGCAGCAGCUAGGAUUCAGGGAGAAGCCAAUUGUGUGGCUCAUGAAUUAGCUAAAAGGGCCAAGUUUGCUCAGACAACCUAUUGGCUGGAUGAGCAUCGGGUCAUGAUCGUUGACUACAUGUUACUAUUCCCAUUAGGAACUGUUCAAGCUCACCUUGUUAAUAGCUUCCACACCCCUCAAGGAGCUCAUGUAGCAAAGUUGCAGGUUGCAACUAUAUUCAAAUUUUUCCUGGGUAGCUUUUCUUGGACUAUAUUUUCAUGGCUCUAUACAGCAGGCAACGACUGUGGAUUUUCUAACUUCCCAUUGUUUGGACUAGAACUAUACAAGCACAGAAGUACAUAA